AAAUAUGAAGUUUUAUUAAAAGAAAAAGGGGUGAAAAGAACAAAGUUUUGUUCAUCUUUGUUUAUCAUAGCUGAAAGUUAGAGAAGAGAAAGGAGAGGAGAAAGCUCUUGAGUAUUUGGUCAUUAGGAGGAGGAAAAUUGAAGGUAAGUUCUUGGUACCUUGCUUCUAUUUUGAGGUUCAUGAGUUCUUCUUGAUUCUACCUUAACUCGUGAAGUAUAUUUUGAUUUUUAGUUGUGUUGUGAGCAUUUAGUCAUGAAUUAAAAUGAAGGAAAUGGUUGUUGUUUCAUGUUCUUUUGAUGAAAAAUGGAAGAUAGGUGAAGUUGAGCCAAACAAAUAAGCAUGCAUGUGCCUUAGAUGUUAAAGGGAAAAAUCAGCUAACAUGUUGUGCUUUAAAAUGAUGAAAUGGAGAUUAUACUUAAGUAAAAUCAUAGAUAUGUGAUGAUUGAUUGGUGAUAUACAUGUUUAAAUAACAUGCAUGCAAGGUAUGUGUGAAAGAGUGAUUUGAUAAUAAAUCUGCUUGGGACAGCAGCAGUAACGUGACUUUGGAAAAUCACCAUAAAUUGUGGGAGAUGAAUUAGAAGCUGAAUAAAUUAUGUAAUUAAAGCUUAUUGAGUCUAGUUUCUAAUGAAGUAAACAAGAACAUAUUUUGAAUUUUUUACAAUGAGAAAUUUGAUUCGUAAUGAAGGGUGGUCAGAUUAGUCAAACAAUGAAACAUGGGAAACUUUGAGAAAAAUAUGGUAUUGAUUGGCUAAACCAAAAAUUUUGAAAAUUUUAUGGAUAAAAGAUAUAUGAGUCUAUUUUCAGGGAAAAUUAACGGAACUUGAUUUGGAAUUUCGUAGCUCCAGUUAUAAAUAAUUUAGUGACUGUUGCUCAGGAAGAUAGCUUGCAGUGAAAUUAUGAUUAUGUGGUAAACAUUGACAAAAAUUUGUUAAUGAGUUGCUUAUUGAUUUCUUAUAAGCUUACUAUGAUCUGUAGGUGUGGUUGGCCGAAUAUUGUAAGGGGUUAAUACGUAGUUUGUAUUUGAAUAGUUAGAUUAACGUGUUAGUAAUCCAAUUGUAGGCGGUUCGUGUGUGGAUCUCGUCAGCAUAUCGUCGCAAACAGGUGUGUAACUGACACCCUCUCAUAGACUAGAUUGGCAAAAGCCGAAAAGCCGAAAUGCCAGUAUUUUGGGAAUUUGCGAGUGUGCGAAUGCUCGUAAGAUAGUUGGGUUUGUAUAUUUGGUAAUCUAAAGUAAUAAACUGCAGUACGCGCGAUUUCGUACAUUUUGAUAAUUUGGGCUUAAUGGGCCAAAGAUCGGGUUCAUGGGCCAACGGGUCCAAUUCAGUAAGUAUGUGCGGUAAGUGUUCUGAUAGUACGUAAAUAGUUAGGAUAUGCAUGAAAACCCUAAAAGUAGCUAAAUUACUAUAAUACCCAUAUGUAUGAAAAAUUACUGUUAUACCCCUAGGUGCAAAAUUACCGUUAUACCCCUAGGGUUAAUUUUGACUGAAAAGCAUGACGAUCUGAUUCUGUAUGAUGUAUGCCAUGAUUAUAUAUCUGUUGCAUGGGGACAUGGGUUAUAUUAUGGAGGAAGCGUUCUGGUGGCUAUGCCACAAAUAUCUGAUCUGGUGGCUCUGCCACAUAUAUCUGUUCUGGUGGCUCUGCCACGAUUAUCUGUAUCUGGUGACUCUGUCACAUUAUCUGUUCUGGCAGCCAUGCUGCAAAUUCUGUGGUGUGUAGCGGUUGGGUGGGUCGAGUUGUCUCCCCACACGGUGUAAGGUUGGUACGGGGGUGUAUACGGUUGGAUAUGGUUGGGUUUCUGCAUAAACAUGUAAUAUAUGUUCUGUUCUGUUAUGGGCCUAUGGGCUUUAUUUUGAAUUAUGUUCUGGGCUAAGGCCAACUUAUUAUAUUUCUGUGGUUUAAGUUGAUAUAGGCUAUGGUUGGGUUAAUUUACACACUGAGUUUCCCCAAACUCACCCCUUUUAUUUUCAUCCACGCAGGUAAUCCCCAACCAUAGCGGGCUUGGAGCUGUGAGGGAAUUCGGAGUGGCCACCCGUUCUGAAAGUUUGAUUUUCUUCUGGUGAACUGGAUAUCCUUUUAUUUACGUUUGAAGUUUUGGGUUUUUAAAUGUAAUAAGGCCGCUUAAUUAUUUUUGAUGGUUUUAAUAUGUAUUACUAAGAUAGGUAAUACUUAUUUUAACUGUUGAAAUUGGAUAGCUUUAGGGCGCGUUUUCAAAAACAACAGUUGAUUUCAAAAUAACACGACAACAAGCAAAGCUUCCGCAACGAAAGUAUUUUCCAAAAUUAAUCACUUUUCCUAAAAAUGACUUAAUCAAAUCGGUUUCCUAGAAAUAUCCAUGACGUUAAGGUGUGGCAAUGGCGGUAUGCAUGUCUAGAAUUGGAUUCGAAGGGAGCUUGGUACUUAAGCAGUCCGAUGGACUCACCACCUCUUUUCCGGUUUCCUACCUGGUGCACAGCUUCCAUUCACUUUAACCCUUAAUGAAUUAAUAUUUUGAACAUCAAGUACGAUUUUCUGGACUUAGAAUGAAAUUUUUUUUUAACGUUUUUGAUGUGGCAUGCCGGAUCCGGCCAUAACUUCUGGGCCGGGUUUGGGGUGCUAGAGAUAAUAUGUCAAAAAAAUGUAUGGUGAAUAAUUCAUAAAAAUACAAAAAUAGGAAUUAAGGAACCUAAUUGGAAUAAAAACAAUAUCAGAGGGACAAUUUAUAAAUAAAUCGGAUUAUUAAAAUAGAAUUUAGAACUGGAAUAAAACACGCUCAAACAAACGAGGAUUAAAAAUGAAAAUGUCCCAAAUCCUAAAGCGCAGUGUUUAAACGUGGAUUAUUUGAAACAAAACGCAAAUUACAUGGGAAAAUUUAAAAACAUAUAAAUAUAAAUAAGACUUAAUCAAAUGACGGUGUAAAUGGGAAGGACCGAGCGCGCAAAUUCUCCUUUUAGCAGAAACGCGCGGAUCCUAAUGCUUGCGGGUCGGGUCACACGGGUCUACGUCUAAACGAUGCCGUUUUAAGGCUAUUGAAACAGACCCUAAACGAUGCCGUUCGUCAAGGCCUAUAAAAGAUAAAUUUUAAAAAAAAAAUCAUUUCCCCACUGCAUAAAGAAAGAAAAAAAGAAAAGUGGAGAAGGGGAGAAGGGGAGAAGGGGGGAGAGGGAAAGACGCUGCUCUCCGCGCCUCGGUCUUGAUGACUUGGGGCUUCAUCGGCAUUCGACGCCUCCACCUCCGCGUGACACAAGGCCUAAGGCUCCAGGCGCACAGGUAAACCCCCUCUUUUUUAUCACUAGUUUUUUUAUCUACCAAAUGACAAAAAAGAAAAUGAAACUGAAAAUCAAAAGAAGAAGAUACGAAUCGAGGAACCACCUUCAAACUUCGGUUUUUAAAAUCUCUGUUUUUGUAUUUCUUUCUUUUUUUGUAUAUUUUUCGUCACCCCUUACAAUUGAAAAUCUUUAUAGCUUUAUAGCCGAAAAUAAAAGGAAAAAUACAACAAAUUUCUUUGCUAUUGUCUUUCUCUUUGUUGUGUUGUCUUUUUCGCAUUUGUCCAUAGGUACGAAUGUAUGGAGCUCGGUGGUCGUACGGUGCUGCGCUGGCGGUGAGGACGAAGGGCUGCUUGGUGGCUACUGCGGCGCCCAGCAGAAACCCUAGGGUUCUGAGUGCUUACCGUUUUUGGGCUUGUCGGGCCGUGUAACUUUGGGCUAGGUUUUAGGUUUUUUUGGGCCUUAUUGGGUUGAUAUCACUGGGUUUUGUAACUGGAUUGAGCUUUUAAGGGACUGUUUUAAAAUUGGACUUUAUGUUUUAUUUGGUUUUAUUAUUGUUUUCUGAUUGUUGGGCUCGGGCGGAUUUCGCCCAUUACAAUCAUAGAUUUUAAACAAAAAUCUUACAUAAAUGAUAUUUACAAUUCA
rnacentral:lncRNA from 1 species